AAUGAACGUUGGCGGCGUGGAUUAGGCAUGCAAGUCGUGCGGCAGCAGGCCCCGCAAGGGGCGCUGGCGAGCGGCGAAAGGGAUAGUAAUGUGUGGAUACCUGCCCUGGGGACGGGGAUAGCUGCUGGAAACGGCAAUUAAUACCCGAUGAUGUCUCCGGACCAAAGGUGUAAUUCCGCCCUAGGAGGGGUCCACAUCCUAUUAGCUAGUUGGUGAGGUAACGGCUCACCAAGGCCACGAUGGGUAGCGGGUGUGAGAGCACGACCCGCAUCACUGGGACUGAGACACUGCCCAGACACCUACGGGUGGCUGCAGUCGAGGAUCUUCGGCGAUGAGCGAAAGCUUGACCGAGCGACGCCGCGUGCGGGAUGAAGGCCUUCGGGUUGUAAACCGCUUUCGGAGGGGAGGAAAUCUAGGGGGGAUCACCCUCCUAGUUGACCUAUCCUAGGAAGAAGGACGGGCUAAGUUCGUGCCAGCCGCCGCGGUAAGAC
rnacentral:rRNA from 1 species